rnacentral:rRNA from 1 species
GACGAACGCUGGCGGCGUGCCUAACACAUGCAAGUCGAACGGAAAGGCCCUGCUUUUGUGGGGUGCUCGAGUGGCGAACGGGUGAGUAACACGUGAGUAACCUGCCCUUGACUUUGGGAUAACUUCAGGAAACUGGGGCUAAUACCGGAUAGGAGCUCCUGCUGCAUGGUGGGGGAUGGAAAGAUUCGGCGGUUGGGGAUGGACUCGCGGCUUAUCAGCUUGUUGGUCGGGUAGUGGUUUACAAAGGGUUUGACGGGUAGCCGGCCUGGGAGGGGGACCGGCCACAUUGGUACUGAGAUACGGCCCAGAAUCCUACGGGAGGCAGCAGUGGAGAAUAUUGCACAGUGGGCGGAAGCCUGAUACAGCAACGCCGCGUGCGGGAUGACGGGCUUCGGGUUGUAAACCAAUGUCGCCGGUGACGAGGCGUGCGUGACGGUAAUUGGUAAAGAAGCACCGGCUAACUACGUG